rnacentral:lncRNA from 1 species
CAGGAGGGGAGCAAACAGCCGAUCAGGGAGAUGAAAUGCCUGUCUGGACAGCAACCAUGCCUUCCUCUCCGGGCUUGACACCCUCAUUCACAGACAGCUUCUUUGGAGCAACAGCGAGAGAAGUUGGGCAUGACUCUGAAGAAAAGCGCUGGCUGCAGCAGUCCACACAGCCCACUUGUGCAGUAACCGGAAGCAAGCCAAGUGCUCGGCACCGGGAAUUGGGUGGGAGCUCACCUAUGGACGCUGCUUCAACAACGACAUUAAAGCUGU